rfam:Myotis lucifugus cont2.4762, whole genome shotgun sequence.
GAGACACCCUUCUGGGGCAAGACUUGCUUCAGUGGGGCUUUGGUGCUCACUGAGUCUGCCCCCUGAGUGUGCCCCU